AAUGGGGGCAACCCUGAUCCAGCCAUGCCGCGUGAGUGAAGAAGGCCUUAGGGUUGUAAAGCUCUUUCACCCGUGACGAUGAUGACGGUAGCGGAAGAAGAAGCACCGGCUAACUACGUGCCAGCAGCCGCGGUAAUACGUAGGGUGCGAGCGUUAAUCGGAAUUACUGGGCGUAAAGCGUGCGCAGGCGGUUUGGUAAGACAGGCGUGAAAUCCCCGGGCUUAACCUGGGACCUGCGCUUGUAACUGCCAGGCUAGAGUACGGCAGAGGGGGGUGGAAUUCCACGUGUAGCAGUGAAAUGCGUAGAGAUGUGGAGGAACACCAAUGGCGAAGGCAGCCCCCUGGGUCAAUACUGACGCUCAUGCACGAAAGCGUGGGUAGCAAA
rnacentral:rRNA from 1 species